AAAGCAUAUAAAAUUCAAUUAUAAGUGUUUAGUUUCCAUAUGGUCAGUCAUAAGAUACUGAGACCAAAACCUGACGCAUGUGUGAAGGAACUAAAGGUGGUCAGGUAUAAGACCUUCCAACUAGAGAUAAAGCAUUUAUUUCUAUUGCAUAUAGUCUUGCUUAUUUUAUUUUGGCUCUUAGUAUUGUCACUUUGGGUGAAAUAGCUAAAAUUUUUUUAAGAAAAUAAUUCCACGUUUGCUCAGUGGCCAAAAACUAUAUUUUAACUCCUGACAGACUACAUAAAAAUAUGUGUGCCUUUGGUCCCCGGAGGAACCAAAUGGCUCAGUCGGCACAAUUCAUCAUUACUACUGGAAAAAAUAACUCAGCAUGCCUGCCCUGCUUGGUGGUGAGUCAGUGGCAUCAUAUUUAUAUACUGACAGCAAUUUUUUUUCUUUUUAGGAAUUACCCUCUCUAUCCUGUGCCAAAACACAGAGCAGUGAGAUUAAAUUAGGUAUCAGUGCUUUAAAGAGCAAAGGCUAUUAUUUUAAAUUAUUAAUUCAUUUUAAAAGGUCAAGUAUGGUUUACCUUAGGUGCUGAGGUGAUGACAGAGGUCAAUAUGAUGAUGGUCUUGAUCUUGGGGAGCUAAUAUCUUAUGGAAAAUAUAAAAUGUACUUAAGUAAUAUUUUCAACACAAAAUACUGAGUUAUUGGUAAUAUUCAGUGGGAGUUCACUGGGAGGAAUGAGAAUGAAUACUUAUGAUUGGAAGAGAUUUUUUUGCAUAUUUAUUCAGCAGUUUGAAUACUACUAUAUUUUAGUAGGAAUUUUUAAUGAGGAGAUUUGAUUAUAACUGACUGAUCCAGUAGUCCAGCAGAAAUUUACUGAACAAUUAGAAUAAGCGAGAUGUUUAAAUGAAUAAGAAAUGACUAACAUACAUUUUGUUUCAUGAGCCAGUCGUGAUCCCAUGGAGGGAGACAGACAAAUAUCAAAUAUUUGCAGCAACAUGUAAGUGUUAUAAUGCAUCCGUAAAGGAUACAAUUUUUUUCUUACAGUGUAUAUUUGCUUUAAGUAUUUAUAUGUAUUUUUUGGGUCAAAGCAUUCAAUAGUUGCUUUCAUUCAAACUAGAAGGCCCAUCACAUUCUCUCAUUACAAAGUUUUCACUUGUCAAAUCAAUAAGCCAAAUGAGACUUAACUUCAGGUAAGAAAAAGUAUGACUUCUUUUUUCAGUUUAAAUAAACUAACUACACCUCCUUUCCCUAGUAUCUCAUUUCUGAUUCUUCAGUCUAAGAUAAAUGGACUCAUUGAUAAAUAGUCUGACUUACAGAUAAAGUCAUGGAGUCUGUCCACAAGUUAGCGGCCUGAUAAACUAAAACUGCUGCCUUCCCUAUUUCUUGCCUUAUUCUUACAUGAUUCUCCCCCAGAGGAAAGCUCUCAGUUUUCUCCAGUUACUUGGCGCUCAAGAGUUCUUUAAGCCCUGGCCAGUGCGUCAUUGUAAGAUUUGUAAACUGGAGAAGAUCAUUUGUGAAAGAGAAAAUGGAGGUGGCAAAGAAGGGUGGUCCACGGAGUAUUCUGAAGGAGAUAGUUUUAGGAAAGAGGAGACUUGAACAUUGAGGAUCUGAAAAUUGAUUCUUAUGACAUUAUUCAUACCCAUGUGCACCCUGGAAUGACUUUGCGUUUUCAAAAUGAUUCAUGAAAGACAGGUUACGAAGUGUAAGUAAAAUUUUCCUAGAUGAGGAGGGAAAAGAAGACAGUUCAGAUAGUUCAGAGAAUACACAGAAAGUCUUGAAAAAAUUAUGAUCUAUUCACGAAAAGUAGAAAUCCUCAUUGUGUCUUCGGGAUACAGUUAUGAUGUAGGAGUGGCAGAAGGUGAGACUAGAAAGCAGAUUAGGUUCUGUUUGUGAAAAACUUUUCAUGCUAUUCUAGUAAUAUCUAAUUUAGAUUUUACCUAUGCAGGCAGAAGGAAGACACAGUGACCUUUUAGCUAGGAGGUGGUAUUACAGGCAGUUAAUUUAUAUGGCAGAGUGAAGGAUGGAGUGGGUAAAUUUGAAGAUGAGAAAGAAAGCAGACACAGUUGGGAGGCUUUAUCCAUUCGUUUUUAAUUUAAUUUAAUUAAUUCAUUUAUUUAGUUUAUUUAUUUAUGUAUUUAUUGAUUUGAAACACGGCCUCUUUGUCACCAGGGCUGAAGUGCAGUGGUGUGAUCAUGCCUCACUACAGCGUCAAAUUUAUCCAUUUAAAAAUGAACAGUAUUUUCCUCUAUCUCUGAAACUGGGAUGCAAUUGAUGACAAGUUAUAAAUUUAUUGGUGGUAGUUUUUUCUUUCCUAGAGAUACACAAAUUAAUGAUAUAUUUUAAAGUUAGUGAAAAAUGUAAUUCAAGUAAAGACGAUGUUGGCACUAAAAGUAGAAACUGCAGAUGGGGAUAGAUAGAAUUUUAGAGAUAUUUCUAGAGAAGAAAAAUCUGGUUGACAUAUUAAAAAUUUCUAGACUUAGGAUUAAAUGCUUCUAAAGAUUGUUAGAGCUUAAGGUUUAUGAAUUGUUGAGGCAUUUAUGAUUCAGCCACAAAAUAGAUUAAAAAAUAAUCCAGAUCUCAUGGAAUCACUGGUUUGAGCUCUGAGACCUUAAUCAAUUUUGUUUUAAUAUAGAAGGAACUGGGUAUUUAGCCACCUACCUCUAUAUACCUCAAUACUGGUGAUAAAUGGUUCCAAAUAUAAUUUUUAAAAAUGCCUUCCUUUUUUCAAUCUUUUGGGCUUUUUCUUCCAUAUUUUCCCAUUUAUUUUGUUACUACCUCAGUUAUCUUUUUGUCCUAUUUGCCUUAAAAACAACUACUACUCACAAAGCACUGUCUGCCUUUUGAUUUCCUCCUUUUCUACCUCUCCCCUUUCCUACUGCCCAUUUAUCCUCUGCAUUGUGGAUGAAACUGGGAAUAUAUACAGUACAGAAGGGAACAGUUAACAUUUGGCCCAAGGGUUAUAAUGGAGACUGACUUCUAAGGGCUCAAUUUUUAUAUAUGUAUGUGUGUGUGUGUGUGUGUGUGUAUAUAUAU